UUAUUGAAAAAAAGAAAAAAAAGAAAAAGAAGCUGUCUCAACACAAAAUCCUGGCCGUACGAUUAAAUCUCGCUUCUCUCUUGUUAAUUGCAGAGCCGUUGGCUAACCUUUAUGAUGCAUGUGAAAACCCUAGGGACCAAAAUGCUUCGCCGUUUCCUACUUUGUGCCUCUGCUGUCUCUACGUCUCUGCUGAAUGUAUAAUUUUUUAAAAAUAAGUUCAGAUAAGUGGUAAACUUUAUGAACAUUAAUAAUUAAAGUUAUAAUUUUUUCCAUGAAUCUGUAAUUAUUUUGUGAAAGAGCCACUGAAUUGUAAUUUCCACUUGUUCCCAGAUUUCCAAGUUUUGAAUCUGAAGCUGCUAGCCAAUGAUGACAAAUUGUAAAUUGACCGAAAUGCAAGUUUUUAAUAUUUGCUGUGGUGUUGAAAUUCUUGAACUAGGACGGUCUGAGGCUUUGCACCUUGCAGUACAUUUGUAUUAUGCAUUUGUUUAUUUGUCAUUCGUAUCACUUUGUAUAUUUGUAUUUAUCGAUUAAAUUAAGUGAACAUGAAACAUUUGAAAUUGGUUUUCAUUUUUAUUUUAUGAUAGAAAAGUUUCAAAACUUUAAUGGAAAUAAAUAGCUCCCAUUGGUGUCCCUUUUGUCUUGUAAAACAUUUGGCUUCUUAAUUUUGUUGCUUAUAUAUUUCUCUAGUGUUUGUGGAUGAUGAUAAAAAAAAACAUCACAGUUAUCCCUGUCUGAUAUAUUUGUGCUGACCUUUUGUUAUCUGACACAAACACUAUAUUUUAGUUUGUUUUUAUAUACCAAUUAUUGUUUAGCUAUGGCUUGCUUUUCAUUUUUGAAUAAUGUACUCUAAUUUCAAGUUGCAUCUAGGUUGUAUUAGUUCACAUCAGUGAUACCCUACGUAUUUGAUUAUAUACACCCCGUGGGAACAUUGGUGGCUGGGCAUAUUUGGGGAUAAAUACUCAUUCAAUUUGGUGGAAUUGUUCUUGAGGUUACAAGCAGAACACUCUAUUUAGAAUGGUCUCCAAUGCACCUUACUGGAGUCUUCUUUUUUGGGCGAAGAUUCUGAAAUAGUCAGUUAAGGUAACUGAUUGCAAGUACAUUUUUCUUCGCUUCUGCAGUAAAUUCUAUGUACUAGGUCCGUCCCAAAGAUAAUAUGUUCAGACUUUCAUCUUUCUUCCAAGCCCUCCCUUUCUCUUAAUUCUGCUUUCCUGCAGAGCCAUUUUGCAAUGCAAGUGUAUAGGUUAGUCAAGAAUGAAUCCCUAGGGUUGAAGCUAUUGUUGGUUGGAUGAAGUGAUGUCUGCAGCUGAAAUGCAGGGAUGGAAGCUGACAGUCUUGGCAGCGGCAACUUUUGGAAGAUUCUACUCAUGGGCAUUGAGGUUUGUCGCUCACAUCUUAGAUGCAUCUAAGAUCCCACCCUGGUGUUUGUCUAUGCCAAUGGUCCAUGGUUAUCAGAAUCCCGAUCCGGAUCUUACGAUCCUACGAUCUUACGAUCCAUUUGAGUGCAAUCGAUCCGGAUCGUGUA